rnacentral:rRNA from 1 species
ACAAGCAGCGGAGCAUGUGGUUUAAUUCGAAGCAACGCGAAGAACCUUACCAAGACUUGACAUCCCCUGACAGCUGUUGAAAGGCAGUGUCUCUUCGGAGCAGGGAGACAGGUGGUGCAUGGUUGUCGUCAGCUCGUGUCGUGAGAUGUUGGGUUAAGUCCCGCAACGAGCGCAACCCUUAUCCUUAGUUACCAGCACGUAAAGGUGGGGACUCUAGGGAGACCGCCGGGGACGACUCGGAGGAAGGUGGGGACGACGUCAAAUCAUCAUGCCCCUUAUGUCUUGGGCUACACACGUGCUACAAUGGCCGCAACAGAGGGAAGCGAGAGCGCAAGCUGGAGCAAAACCCCAAAAAGCGGUCCCAGUUCGGAUUGUGGGCUGCAACCCGCCCACAUGAAGUCGGAGUUGCUAGUAAUCGCGAAUCAGCAUGUCGCGGUGAAUGCGUUCCCGGGCCUU